rnacentral:SRP_RNA from 1 species
GGCUAGAUCCUAGGUGAUGGAAGAUCUUGAAACCCGCCAGGGCCGGAAGGCAGCAACGGUAGAGAUUGUACCAGGUGCUUAGGGCGUCUAGUCAUC